GACGAACGCUGGCGGCGUGCUUAACACAUGCAAGUGGAGCGACGAACCGGGCUUCGGCCCGGGGCAAAGCCGCGAACGGGUGAGUAUCACGUGGGUAACCUGCCCCGAUGACCGGGAUAACCCGAGGAAACUCGGGCUAAUACCGGAUGUGCUCUCCAUCCACCAGGGUGGAGAACAAAGGAAGCUUCGGCCUCCGCAUUGGGAUGGGCCCGCGGCCCAUUAGCUUGUUGGUGAGGUAAAGGCUCACCAAGGCAACGAUGGGUAGCUGGUCUGAGAGGACGAUCAGCCACACUGGGACUGAGACACGGCCCAGACUCCUACGGGAGGCAGCAGUGGGGAAUCUUGCGCAAUGCGCGAAAGCGUGACGCAGCAACGCCGCGUGAGGGAAGAAGGCCUUCGGGUUGUAAACCUCUUUCAGGAGGGACGAAGGUUCAGGCGCGAACAGCGUCCUGGACUGACGGUACCUCCAGAAGAAGCCCCGGCUAACUACGUGCCAGCCGCCGCCGUAAGAC
rnacentral:rRNA from 1 species